UACAGAGGGGGCAAGCGUUGUUCGGAAUUACUGGGCGUAAAGGGCGUGUAGGCGGCCCGGUAAGUCCGCUGUGAAAGUCGGGGGCUCAACCCUCGAAAGCCGGUGGAUACUGUCGGGCUCGAGUGCGGAAGAGGCGAGUGGAAUUCCUGGUGUAGCGGUGAAAUGCGCAGAUAUCAGGAAGAACACCUAUGGCGAAGGCAGCUCUCUGGGACGGUACUGACGCUGAGACGCGAAAGCGUGGGGAGCGAACAGG
rnacentral:rRNA from 1 species